AUUGCACUCCUAACCUUUUCUGGAAAAACUUUAGACUGGAGGACAACCAGUCAAUGUCUAAGGAUACCAGAAAAGAGGUCACAGUAAAGUAUUUGAGUAGAGAUUCGAUGGGCAGUUAUUGGACCAAAUCAUGUCACGGCUGUGAAUAUACAUGUUCAAGAAGCAACAAGGUUUUAUGUCACUCCAGCUCUCAGUAGUUCAGUCUAAGAACCAUACUGAGAGUCUCUAGGAGUUUGUACAAGGUGACAUGCUUGAGGGGGACAACAGGCACCUUUGUAGAGAGUUUCAA